AUGAACCAUAACAAUGUUUAAAAUACAUGAUUAUUGUGAACUAACAAUUAAGGAAGAGUCACAUCCCUGAGUUAUGAAGAUUCACAAAGAGAAUUUGAUCCUUAAACACCUAGAUGAACACCUUGAAGAAAUCCUAGACCAAUCUUCUUGAGUAGUUUUUAGAGAGUGUUUCAAUCUUCUAAAAUGUAGAAUAACUGCCUAAUAAGUGUUAUAAGACGUGGGGUCUUAAGGGCUUGGGGUAGAAUGUCCAAAAUC
rnacentral:lncRNA from 1 species